CGUAUCGCCAUCCACAUUAACACUGUAGGUACAGCAACAAAUGUUCACGAUCUACUCAGUCAAAAUGUUACCUCGGCUGUUACAUGCUGCUGGUGGCCAUUCUGAACGUCGUCACUGCCGAGUACUGCAGGUUUGAAAUCAGUAAAAGACAUGCCAAGUACGCGCGAUGUCAAUAUGGGUGUUGUCCUGGUGAAUGCUGUGAACCGCCCGAGGAGGAAGAAGAAAAAAGUCUGCGUAUUACUUGGUGGUUCAGUCAGUGGAGGUGCCGUGAUAAUGAUCAUCCUGUACGUUGUCAUCGCCUGUCUGUGUCGUUACUUCACGGGCGGUGAUGGCGGCGGAGAAGCCGAGAUUGACCUGUAACUGUCUAGUUACCAAGAACAGUGAGGAGUUCCGCACUUUGUGUACAACCCACUUACAAUGCUGAUGACCAGUUCUGUGAUACAGCAAGGAAAUCCAAAUGAAGGAACACAAUGGACACAGCGGUUUAUUUCAAGUUUAUAUCAGCCGUACACGGCACAUUUAAUUCAUAUUUCGACCAGUGAGGAGCUGGGUUACAAUUGAUCUUCAGCAACCCAUGCUUGUCGUAAGAGGCGACUAACGAGAUCGGGCGGGCAGGUUGGCUGACUUGUUGACAUAUAUUGCGUUACGGUGCUCAUGGUGUUGGUCACUGGAUUGUCUGGUCCAGAUUCGAUUAUAGAAAGACCGCUGCCAUAUAGCUGGAAUAUUGCUGAGUACGGCGUUAUGCAAGACAUCAAAUAACCAACUAAUUCAUAUGUAGGGGAAGAGGGGAUAAAAUCAUUCCGAUCCGUCAUUCGAGAGUGAUUGUCAGGUGCUACCAUUGCUCCAGUUGAAAUAGAAAGCUUGAGGCCAAGAUUAGAGAAAAAGUAAUCCUUGCUGGAGUAUACUCUUUGACGUUCGCUUGAAACUUGGCAGUUGCUUGAUCUCUUUGUUCACUGAUCGCUUCGGCACGUUUAAUUUGUCAUGUUUAAUUCUCUGUUCAUUGGACACAUACUGCAUGUGUAUUACACGCAUCCGAUGAGCUGUUUCAAAAUGGUUGUUGCUUUCAGUUCAAAUAGGAAACGUUUAACUGAUGUUGUCUAAUGUUUUUCCUGUAUUUAUAACAUAUAUACACUCAAGGCCAAAUGGUCAAGGCCUAAGCUAAAAAUCUUACUAAACAUCAACACAUAAAAUUUGAUUUCAUAUCUGUUUAUGUUGAUAGGAAAGCCACUUGCUAAACAUUAUUACAACAUCAAUAUUUAAGCAACAUUUAAUUAAAUGACACUGUAUCAAAAGGCAAAGUUACAUGUUUUCAGUUGUGCUGGAACAAUAUCUGUGAACUCCAGAUUAAAACACAUUUGUCAGCGUUUA